rnacentral:rRNA from 1 species
CAAAGGAAGUUGACGGGGGAGCACUACAACGGGUGGAGCCUGCGGUUUAAUUGGAUUCAACGCCGGAAAUCUCACCGGGGCGACAGCAAUAUGAAGGUCAGGCUGAAGACCUUACCCGAUUAGCUGAGAGGUGGUGCAUGGCCGUCGUCAGUUCGUACUGUGAAGCAUCCUGUUAAGUCAGGCAACGAGCGAGACCCACGUCCACAGUUGCCAGCAUACCCUCCGGGGUGAUGGGUACACUGUGGAGACCGCCGCUGCUAAAGCGGAGGAAGGAGUGGGCAACGGUAGGUCAGUAUGCCCCGAAUCUCCCGGGCUACACGCGGGCUACAAUGGUUGGUACAAUGGGCAUCUACCCCGAAAGGGGAAGGAAAUCUCUUAAAGCCAAUCGUAGUUCGGAUUGAGGGCUGCAACUCGCCCUCAUGAAGCUGGAAUCCGUAGUAAUCGCGUUUCAACAGAACGCGGUGAAUACGUUCUCGGGGUUU